UACGGAAGGGGCAAGCGUUGUUCGGAAUCAUUGGGCGUAAAGGGCGCGUAGGUGGCUCUGUAUGUCUACCGUGAAAGCAUACAGCUCAACUGUAUUUUGUCGGUAGAAACUGCAGGACUUGAGGCUGGGAGGGGCUGGUGGAAUUCCCUGUGUAGCGGUGAAAUGCGUAGAGAUGGGGGAGAACACUCGUGGCGAAGGCGACUGCCUGGACCAGCACUGACACUGAGGCACGAAAGCGUGGGGAGCAAACAGG
rnacentral:rRNA from 1 species